rnacentral:lncRNA from 1 species
AUGAAGUAUUCUGGCAUGGGGCUUUGGGUGUUCUGGAGCUUUGGACCUUGCAAAGACAGUCAAGAACAAUUUGGGCCAGGCCGCUUUGCUGACUCGCAGCCCAUCCAGAGUGAACUGGCAACACAGGGCUUCCCCCGCUGUUCUGCAGUGCACCCGCCUUGUGCCGUUCUGCAGCGCAAUGCACACACUGCCAGGUCCUAUUACUUGAUUAAUGCAUCACGUCCGAUAACACAACAUUUACUGAAUACAGGCUAUUAACCUUCCAAAACAUUCACCCACGGGCUAAACUUUGCAGUACUUCUACUCUGAUUCUGAAAAAUGUCUCUAUUCAAAAAGCCAGUGCUAAGUGAAAGUGAAUUAAGUCCCCUCGCAACCAAUGGUAAGCAUAUACC